rnacentral:rRNA from 1 species
GCCUAACACAUGCAAGUCGAGCGGCAGCGCAGGUAGUUUACUACCUGGCGGCGAGCGGCGGACGGCUGAGUAACACGUGGGAACGUACCCUUUGGUUCGGAAUAACUUGGGGAAACUCAAGCUAAUACCGGAUAAGCCCUUAUGGGGAAGGGUUUACUGCCGAAGGAUCGGCCCGCGUCUGAUUAGCUAGUUGGUGGGGUAAUGGCUCACCAAGGCGACGAUCAGUAGCUGGUCUGAGAGGAUGUUCAGCCACACUGGGACUGAGACACGGCCCAGACUCCUACGGGAGGCAGCAGUGGGGAAUAUUGGACAAUGGGGGCAACCCUGAUCCAGCCAUGCCGCGUGAGUGAUGAAGGCCUUAGGGUUGUAAAGCUCUUUUACCCGGGACGAUAAUGACUGUACCGGGAGAAUAAGCCCCGGCUAACUUCGUGCCAGCCGCCGCCGUAA